CUUUUUCAUUAGACUUAAAUUUCAAAAAACAAAGGAUGAACACUACAAAUUAAAUAAUAAUUAGAUGCUUGCACAUAAUAAUUAAAGCAAUUAAAGAGCUGUAGGUUUGAAUUAAAUGGUGAGUCAGUAAUGAGCUGUGUUGCGUGUUAAGGACUUCAGCUGCAGCAUCUGUCUGGAUUUAGCUGGCAUCAGUACAAAGCUAAAGGAACUGCUUGUUCAGUGUGACCUAAACUGCACUAUUAAAUACAUGUUCAGGGUUUCCAGGUCUGUGCCAAGCCAACCUCAAUGACAUGCCAACAUCUGCAACACUGCUGUU